rnacentral:tRNA from 1 species
AUUCCUGUAGCGCAAUGGAUAGCGCGUUGGACUUUUAAUCCAAAGGCUUGGGUCCGAAUCCCACCUGGGAUG